AGAUUGAACGCUGGCGGCAUGCCUUACACAUGCAAGUCGAACGGCAGCACGGGAGCAAUCCUGGUGGCGAGUGGCGAACGGGUGAGUAAUAUAUCGGAACGUGCCCAGUAGUGGGGGAUGGCCCGGCGAAAGCCGGAUUAAUACCGCAUACGACCUGAGGGUGAAAGCGGGGGAUCGCAAGACCUCGCGCUACUGGAGCGGCCGAUAUCAGAUUAGCUAGUUGGUGGGUAAAGGCCUACCAAGGCAACGAUCUGUAGUUGGUCUGAGAGGACGACCAGCCACACUGGGACUGAGACACGGCCCAGACUCCUACGGGAGCAGCGAGUGGGAAUUUUGGACGAAGUGGGACGCGAAGCCGUGAUCCAGCAAGUGCCGCGUGCGAGGAAGGAACGGCCGUUCGGUUGUAAACUUGUAC
rnacentral:rRNA from 1 species